rnacentral:rRNA from 1 species
CAGUAGCCACGGUAAUACAGAGGGUGCAAGCGUUAAUCGGAAUUACUGGGCGUAAAGCGCGCGUAGGUGGUUUGUUAAGUUGGAUGUGAAAUCCCUGAGCUUAACUUAGGAAUUGCAUUCGAUACUGGGAAGCUAGAGUAUGGGAGAGGAUGGUAGAAUUCCAGGUGUAGCGGUGAAAUGCGUAGAGAUCUGGAGGAAUACCGAUGGCGAAGGCAGCCAUCUGGCCUAAUACUGACGCUGAGGUACGAAAGCAUGGGGAGCAAACAGGAUUAGAGACCCCAGUAGUCCCUGUCUCUUAUAC